CUCCAAAGAUUGCUGACCGGGAAGAUGAAUACAAAAAGCACAGGCGGACCAUGAUAAUUUCCCCAGAGCGUCUUGAUCCUUUUGCAGAUGGUAGAAGGACAAGAAAAUAAUGAGCCAAUGCCAUAGAAACGCAAAGGGUUAAAGGUUUUUCUUUUACUUUUGUUUUGGGUACGCUUUCUAUACUUGGAACAAAUGUGUUUUUCUGGUCAAAAUACUUUCAAAUUCUUGAAAGUUUUCAUUCCAAAUCCUAGAUUUUAGGAUUGUUACUUUUGAGAAACUUUCUCACAUUAGAGCUCCCCUCAUAUUUCUCUAAAUAUAGUUUAGUAAGUGCACCUACUUUGCUUUAAGCAUACUUAAAAUUAAAACAAAAGUAUGUAUACAAAGGCUUUGAUAUUUUUAAUAGUUGGAGUCUGUUUUGCUAAUUUUAGUGUGCAGGUCAGCACAGGGGGCAUAGUGAGCCUGAUGGAAGCUUUCCUCGGGUGAGUUUCAAAAUCAAAAUUAGGUGCCUGUUUCUUAAAAUGAGAUUCUGCUGCAGGUUUACAAAUUAGACUUUCAGCCUGCAUGAAUUAGUAGGGAUAUUCUUUUUUUACUUGCAUAAUUGUAAUUGAUUUAAACAUGUAUGUCAGAAUUCACAGGCCCAUACUAACUGUCCUUAAUUUCUUUCCUACAGCAGUACUGCUAUAUGCCAGUCCUGUCUGCAUUCUUAAGGGUGCAGUUCAACACAUCCUCUCUAGAUUAUGGUGAAAAAGUAUUCCAAAGGAAGUCUUAUCAGAGCUAGUGUCAGAAAGAAUGACACUACCAAUUGGGCAUGAUCUUCAGCAUAGGAAAUGUCUUAGAAUUUUAUUAUUUUAUUUUUCUUAAAUUGUGAUGCUAUACUACUGUAUAGCUAAUUAUCACAUUUUAUAAAACAUAGUGUUCCUCUGUGAAUCUUGUUAUAUACUGUUUGGGCUUCUUUAAGAUAUUUUGAAGUUUGAAAAGCAAAUACUGAAACUUGAACCAAGAGACUAACACAUCUCUUUGUAUGCCACUUCUCUUCUAUGUGCAUCAUAAUAACUGGUAGAAAGUAAUAUAUUCAAGUAAUAUAUUUUCAUUUGUAAUCAUACUUUCUAAAGAUAAAAAUGUUUCUGGGUCAACAAAACUUUAACAAGCAUGAAGCCCUUUUUUAGUAACCUGACAUGAGAAUAAGAUUAUAGGUAUAUUUUUAAAAAUCAGAUUUGCUAAACUAUAACUGUUUUAGAACAUUGUAUGAAGAACUUACCUAGUUAUAGUUAUUUGUAGUUAGGAUUUUAACAGCUUGCAACAGGUAAUGUUUUGAAUAUAAAUAUCUUUCCAAAGUGUUACUAAUGGUAAAGAGAUAAUUUUCUAGGCUUCUAUUCUGCUGCUUGAAGUCAGAACUGCUGAUGGAGACAAAGGCACGAAAGUGUACGUAUUCCGGAUUAGCAACCCAGGAACCCAUCACUUCUGAAGACUAAACUGUGCUGUCAUUUUGCUUUUAUAUGCAUUAAAAUAUUUGUUUUAAACUGCUGUAGAUGUUUGUGUUCAAACAGGUUAAAUUGAUCAGCAAACUCAAUAAAAAGUAAGAUGUAUAAUUAUUAAAGUUUUCCAUCAAAAAAUAAAUUAAAUGAUAUGGAAUAACAUAAUAUUAGAGCAGGGAAGAUAAAUCAGUUGAACCUAAUUAUCGUUUAUUUAUUGUACUCUUGUCCUGUUGCUGUUCUUUUCUGCAGGAGGGAAGACCCCUGAUCCUAAAAUGCAUGCUAGAACGUAUAUGGAUGUAAUGCGCGAGCAGCAUUUGACUAAAGAAGAGAGAGAAAUUAGGCAACAACUAGCAGAAAAAGCUAAAGCUGGAGAACUGAAAGUCGUCAAUGGAGCAGCAGCGUCCCAGCCUCCCUCAAAACGAAAACGCCGUUGGGAUCAAACAGCUGAUCAGACUCCUGGUGCCACUCCCAAGAAGCUGUCAAGUUGGGAUCAAGCAGAGGUGGUUACAUUGUAUUUUUUAAGACUAUUAUAAUUUUUUUUUCUCACA